CGGGGAAUCUUGCGCAAUGGGCGAAAGCCUGACGCAGCGACGCCGCGUGAGGGAGGAAGCCCUUCGGGGUGUAAACCUCUUUGGACGGGGAGAAGGAGAAGAUAGUACCCGUUUAAAAAGCCACGGCUAACUACGUGCCAGCAGCCGCGGUAAUACGUAGGUGGCGAGCGUUGUCCGGAAUUACUGGGCGUAAAGGGUGCGUAGGCGGCCUGGUAAGUUGAGCGUGAAAU
rnacentral:rRNA from 1 species